AAUAAAUGCAGUUUUGCACUAUUCACGUUCAACGUUUGACCGUUCGUCUUAUUUAAAAUUUUUUUAUGAUUAGUAUUUUUAUUGCUAUUAGAUGAUAAAACAUGAAUAGUACUUUAUGUGUGACUAAAUAUUUUUAAAUUUUUUACAAAUUUUUUAAAUAAGACGGACGGUCAAACAUUAGGCACGGAUAUAAGACGGAGGUAGU
rfam:Oryza sativa (indica cultivar-group) chromosome 12, whole genome shotgun sequence.